rnacentral:lncRNA from 1 species
UGGGGUCGCAGAGUCAGACACGACUGAGUGACUGAACUGAACUGAGGCAGGUAACACAGAUUCCAUUCUAAACUUUGUUUCUCCUCCAUCACCCAAACAUUUCUGUGGGAUUGUGAUACAACACAUUCACAAUCUGAAAUGCCCUCCAGCCACGUUACCUCAAGGGACAGGUAGGGCGGCCGUGUAAAGUGCAGAGAAGUCCCCCCGGAAGCCCCUCCCACAGCAGACGGCCAGCAGUAAUUUAACUACAACACCAAAGUGAAUGGAAGCCUCAUAAAUACAACUCAGUGAACCCAGACUAAACACAUCCUGAACUUAUCUUCCCCUUAGCUGGGUCCCCACAAAUCCUCUCACCUUCUCUAAGGCCACUCAAUGCAGCAGAAAUCUAUAGCCAAGGAAAUCAGAGCAGAGAGACAGACAGCUUAACAAUCACGGUUAAAGGAUCUGACUUUUGUAAUUUUACCAAACAUAUCGCCUCAUGGAUGUAAUGCUACGGUUCCCACCCUCAGAUCCUUGGAAAGGGUUAUACAAGUUUCACUGGGACCUAAAACUUCUUUUGCUUCCUGGUAAUCCCCUCUGAGUCAACCUCCAGCAUGAAGCACCACAUUUCCCCUGAGAUAUCUCAAGGGGAACCAGAGUGCUUUCCGGCACCGCCAACCAGAAUGCUUUCCAGCGGACCCACUCUCCACUCUCGAGGAUAUCCUUGGGGCAGAGAAGUGAUGUCAGGGCCACGGAAGGAAAAUACUCCCAAGCUGGUAGUGAGCUGACAACACGCACAGCCCUGUGGCCUCCCUCCUCACCUAAGCCAAGCCCAAAAGGGAAAGAGGGAAGAAGAAGGAAGUCUGCUGCAGGGGCCAGCUGCGAUAAAUCUCUUUCUGCCUGCACUCACCUGCUCUUGUUCUCCACCCAAAUAGUUGAGACAUCAAGGCACAUCAAUAUUCUGGUUCUGCCAUUCAAGUGACCCAUUUUGGCUGGGUCAUAUUCUGCCAGUUUCAGCUUUGUGGAAACUGCCCAGUUUGGUGGCCUGAAUUAGAAAAAUGGACAACAACAGUGGCAAAGGGCUGCAGUAACUGAGGUGAUAGAGGUUGAUGACAUGAUGAAGGGAGAUGGGACAGAAUGGAAGGCCCUCAAGGCAUAAUGGAAGUACAGAGUUUGGAUUAAAAAUUGGGAGUGAUGGACGUGACCAGGGGUGAUCCUGAUGACAUCUAACCAAAUGCAGGGAGUUUCAAAUUGCUUUACCUGAAUGAUUUUCUGCAUUCUCCAAUCUGGCACUAUUUCACUCUCCUUUUACAGACAAGGAAACUGAAGCAUGCAGAGGUUAAGCAACCUGCCAGAGUUCAUGUGGCCAGAAAGAGAUUCUUUCUGGAUUCAAACCCAGGUAGCCUGA